CUCUACUGCAAGCAAGAUGGAGAAGUGGAAUGAUUCAUGCACCAAGAUUUUGGCGACGGGGCAGCAAGAAGUCAGUGGGUGGAAAACAAAUGAUUCAACUUGAAGAGAGAUAUGGAGCCGAGUUUAUAGACAUUGAUUAUUCAGGUUGCAGACUUCAAUGGAGCUGAUGAUGGUAUCUUUCCAGCAGGAGUCAGAAAGAGUUCGAGAAACAGUUAAAGUCGAUAUUCGAUUAUCGUGACAACCCAACAGCAGUUGUGAAAGAGUUUGCACAGAUAGUCCUAAUCAAGUCUUCUUGGCUGCCAAACAGACAAUCUUAUUGGAGGUGGAAGAUGUCAUGAUGAUUCCAGCUGCUCUUUUGGCCAUGCAUGCACUUUCAAUACAUAUUAUCACAAGUCCUGCAAGACGUUUAACAUUGUAUUGCUCUCUGGAAAUAGUUUUGCUGGGGAGCGCCUAUGAAAAUUACUCCUUCGUUUUCUGCUUUG